GACGAAGGGGGCUAGCGUUGUUCGGAAUUACUGGGCGUAAAGCGCGUGUAGGCGGUUGUUCAAGUCAGGUGUGAAAGCCUUGAGCUCAACUCAAGAAAUGCACUUGAUACUGGAUGACUGGAGGACCGGAGAGGAUAGUGGAAUUCCCAGUGUAGUGGUGAAAUACGUAGAGAUUGGGAAGAACACCAGUGGCGAAGGCGGCUAUCUGGACGGUUUCUGACACUAAGACUCGAAAGCGUGGGGAGCAAACAGG
rnacentral:rRNA from 1 species